CCAAAGGCUCUUUUAAGAGCCAC
rfam:Eurypyga helias contig96037, whole genome shotgun sequence.